rnacentral:rRNA from 1 species
GAUGAACGCUGGCGGCGUGCCUAAUACAUGCAAGUCGAGCGAACAGACGAGGAGCUUGCUCCUCUGACGUUAGCGGCGGACGGGUGAGUAACACGUGGAUAACCUACCUAUAAGACUGGGAUAACUUCGGGAAACCGGAGCUAAUACCGGAUAAUAUAUUGAACCGCAUGGUUCAAUAGUGAAAGACGGUUUUGCUGUCACUUAUAGAUGGAUCCGCGCCGCAUUAGCUAGUUGGUAAGGUAACGGCUUACCAAGGCAACGAUGCGUAGCCGACCUGAGAGGGUGAUCGGCCACACUGGAACUGAGACACGGUCCAGACUCCUACGGGAGGCAGCAGUAGGGAAUCUUCCGCAAUGGGCGAAAGCCUGACGGAGCAAAGCCGCGUGAGUGAUGAAGGUCUUCGGAUCGUAAAACUCUGUUAUUAGGGAAGAACAAAUGUGUAAGUAACUAUGCACGUCUUGAAGGUACCUAAUCAGAAAGCCACGGCUAACUACGUG